rnacentral:rRNA from 1 species
UAAAACGUAGGACGCAAGCGUUAUCCGGAAUUACUGGGCGUAAAGAGCGCGCAGGCGGUUUGACAAGUCACUUUUGAAAGCUCAUGGCUAAACUGUGAGAGGUGAGGUGAUACUGUUGAACUAGAGAUUGCUAGAGGUAUGUGGAAUUCCGCGUGUAGUGGUGAAAUGCGUAGAGAUGCGGAGGAACACCAGUGGCGAAGGCGGCAUACUGGGGCAAUACUGACGCUGAGGCGCGAAAGCAUGGGUAGCGAACGGG